rnacentral:rRNA from 1 species
UGAGUACGAGAUGCUACGGCAUCGAAGCAGUCUAUGUCAUACUUCCAAGAAAAGCUUGCACUGUCAUAAACAAAGAAUGCCUGUACCAUAACCGACACAGGUGGGUAGGUAGAGUAUACUAAGGGGCGCGAGAUAACUCUCUCUAAGGAACUCGGCAAAAUGACUCCGUAACUUCGGGAGAAGGAGUGCCUUAUUUCUAAGGUUGCAAUAACAAGAUCCAAGCAACUGUUUACCAAAAACACAGGUCUCCGCUAAGUCGUAAGACGAUGUAUGGGGGCUGACGCCUGCCCAGUGCCAGAAGGUUAAAGAAGUUGGUUAGCAUUAGCGAAGCUGAUAACUGAAGCCCUGGUGAACGGCGGCCGUAACUAUAACGGUCCUAAGGUAGCGAAAUUCCUUGUCGGGUAAGUUCCGACCCGCACGAAAGGCGUAAUGAUUUGGAUACUGUCUCGGAGAGGGGCUCGGUGAAAUAGACUUGUCUGUGAAGAUGCGGACUACCUGCACCUGGACAGAAAGACCCUAUGAAGCUUUACUGUAACUUGAGAUUGAAAUUGGACUUUAUUUGCGCAGUAUAGGUGGGAGGCGUUGAGAAUAAUCUUGCGGGAUUGUUGGAGCCAUCAGUGAGAUACCACUCUUGUAAUGUUAGAUUUCUAACUUUGUAUCAUUAUCUGGUCAAAGAACAGUUUCAGGCGGGCAGUUUGACUGGGGCGGUCGCCUCCCAAAGGGUAACGGAGGCGCACAAAGGUUUCCUCUGAACGGGUAGAAAUCGUAUCUAGAGUGUAAAGGCAUAAGGAAGCUUGACUGUGAGACCUACAAGUCGAGCAGGGACGAAAGUCGGUCUUAGUGAUCUGACGGUGCUGAGUGGAAAGGCCGUCACUCAACGGAUAAAAGUUACUCUAAGGAUAACAGGCUGAUCUCCCCCAAGAGUUCACAUCGACGGGGAGGUUUGGCACCUCGAUGUCGGCUCAUCGCAUCCUGGGGCGGUAGUCCGUCCCAAGGGUUGGGCUGUUCGCCCAUGAAAGCGGUACGCGAGCUGGGUUCAGAACGUCGUGAGACAGUUCGGUCCAUAUCCGGUGUAGGCGUUAGAAUAUUGAGAGGAGCCUUCUCUAGUACGAGAGGACCGAGAAGGACAUACCUCUGGUGUACCAGUUAUCGUGCCAACGGUAAACGCUGGGUAGCUAUGUAUGGAGUGGAUAACCGCUGAAAGCAUCUAAGUGGGAAGCCCACCUCAAGAUAAGCAUUCUCA